rnacentral:lncRNA from 10 species
GACAGGUGACGUGCGUGACGGAUGGGAAGCGGCGCACACACCACACCUUAGCUCUGCAGAGGCUCCAGCUCCAUCGCUUCCAGUGCAUCCACCUGCUCCUGCUGGAAUCGCGGCUCUGGGUCUUUCCUGCCUCUGUGGGGCAGACACACCUGGGGCUGCUCUGCAAGGGCGCAGGAGCUCGGGCGCAGAGCCUCGGGGGUGCUGCGAGGAGACCAGCGUGAGAGGCUGCAGCAGGCGGGACAGAGGAGGAAAUGGAGCUCAUAGAAGCUUGGCAUCCAGCCCAAGACCACCCACCUGUCAAUAACCUUGACACGACAGGAGCCCUCGCCAGUCCGACCCCCAAACUCCAGCCCAAGACCACCCACCUGUCAAUAACCUCGCCACGACAGGAGCCCUCACCAGUCCGACCCCCAAACUCCAGCCCAAGACCACCCACCUGUCAAUAACCUCGCCACGACAGGAGCCCUCACCAGUCCGACCCCCAAACCCAAGCGUCUGUACAAUCGUGUUUCCAUUGAGGACAAAGCAGUUGAUCUGUUUGGAAGAUUUUGAUCCCUGGCAUGGGUUUCUGAGGAAGGGUCUGAGAUUCACGUUGGAAGUCUCUGAAUGAGCCUGCCAUUUUGUCAAGUGAUAAGAAAUUUCCAGUAGACAUUCCUUCUGUGCAUGUUGAGCUUGUGGACGGAACUGGGUGGCAGGCUGUGGUUUUAGGACAUGUGGCCAGAUUGGCUGAGGGUAGGAGGGUGCAGUAUUGACUGCAAUUGUGAAAGCGUAGAAUUUUCUCGUGGAAAGUGGCUUGGAACAUGGUCCAAUCGAACAUCAUCAUCCUACAACUGAGGAAUGUGAAGUCUGAGUUUCUAAGCUCCCAAACCCGUCUGAAAUGAGAACACAGACACACACACAGACAUGCACACACACACACACACAGACCACAGACACACACAUAGACAUGCACACACACACACACAGACCACAGACACACACACAGACAUGCACACACACACACAGACCACAGACACACACAGAGACACACAAGAUGCACACAGACAUGCACACAUGCACACACACAGACACACAGAUGCAAUAUAGACAGACACGCACAGACACAUACAGACACACACACAGACAUGCAAAGACACACACAGAUACACACAGACAUGUAAAAACACAAAGACACACAGGCUCACACAGACACAGACACAUACAGAUGCACACAGACACAGACAUGCAAAAACGCACAAACACACACAGACACAGACAGACCC